AUUGAACGCUGGCGGCAUGCCUUACACAUGCAAGUCGGACGAGUGGCGAACGGGUGAGUAACGCCUCGGAACGUACCGAGUAAAGGGGGAUAACUAUUCGAAACGCCAGCUAAUACCGCAUACUAUCCGAGCGGCCGAUAUCUGAUUAGCUGGUGGGCGGGGUAACGGCUCACCAAGGCGACGAUCGGUAGCGGGUCUGAGAGGAUGACCCGCCAAGCUGGGACUGAGACACGGCCCAGACUCCUACGGGAGGCAGCAGUGGGGAAUUUUGGACAAUGGGCGCAAGCCUGAUGCAGCCAUGCCGCGUGUCUGAAGAAGGCCUUCGGGUUGUAAAGUACUUUUGUCAGGGAAGCGGUACCUGAAGAAUAAGCACCGGCUAACUACGUGCCAGCAGCCGCGGUAAUUC
rnacentral:rRNA from 1 species